rnacentral:rRNA from 1 species
AGUCGUAACAAGGUUUCCGUAGGUGAACCUGCGGAAGGAUCAUUAUUGAAUAAACCUGAUGUGAUUGUUAGCUGGCUUUUCGAAGCAUGUGCUCGUCCGUCAUCUUUAUCUCUCCACCUGUGCACAUUUUGUAGUCUUGGAUACCUCUCGAGGAAACUCGGAUUUUAGGAUCGCUGUGCUGUACAAGUCGGCUUUUCUUUCAUUUCCAAGACUAUGUUUUUAUAUAUACACCAAAGUAUGUUUAUAGAAUGUCAUCAAUGGGAACUUGUUUCCUAUAAAAUUAUACAACUUUCAGCAACGGAUCUCUUGGCUCUCGCAUCGAUGAAGAACGCAGCGAAAUGCGAUAAGUAAUGUGAAUUGCAGAAUUCAGUGAAUCAUCGAAUCUUUGAACGCACCUUGCGCUCCUUGGUAUUCCGAGGAGCAUGCCUGUUUGAGUGUCAUUAAAUUCUCAACCUUCCAACUUUUAUUAGCUUGGUUAGGCUUGGAUGUGGGGGUUGCGGGCUUCAUUAAUGAGGUCGGCUCUCCUUAAAUGCAUUAGCGGAACUUUUGUGGACCGUCUAUUGGUGUGAUAAUUAUCUACGCCGUGGAUGUGAAGCAGCUUUAUGAAGUUCUGCUUCUAACCGUCCAUUGACUUGGACAAUUUUUGACAAUUUGACCUCAAAUCAGGUAGGACUACCCGCUGAACUUAAGCAUAUCA